ensembl:lncRNA
AGAGGGAACUGCUUCCAGGUGGGGAGACUGGAGAAGGUAAUAUUUGAUACAGGUUGUAAAGAAUGAGGAGGCAUUCUACAGGCAAGCCAGUGGGGUCAGGGUGCAGCAUUGCAGGCCAGGCAGGGGGACAGCGUGAGCUAAGGCCUGGAAGUGGGAGUGAAGAGCUGGGGCAAUGGAAGGGAAUGUGUGGUUUGGCCUAGGAGGAGCUGGCGCAGGGAGUAAGGAGGGGAGAGCAUGGAUUUAGUCUCCAAUAAGAUAGCAGAAGACCCCCGGGUCCCUGCAGGGAAGGCCUGGGGUAGCCCAAAAGUGUGCUGAGAAGUCAGAAGCCUGUUCCCCUCUGCCCCUCGCUGGUUUUGUCAUUUGAGAUGAGUCACAGCCUCCCUCAAGUCUCAGUUUCCUCAUCUGUAAAAUGAGGAUUUCAGACAAGUUCCUCUUGUGGCUAAUUUGGUCUGUACUUCUAGUUCUAAGAAGCUGGUUGUUGACCAUGGGGUGUCACAGGAAGCUUAGACUGACAAGACCUGCCCUGUGCUUCCCUGUUCCCCAGAGAGCACUCCCAUCCUUACCCUACACCCCCAUUUUGAAACAGCCUUGGGUUACUGUGCUGCAUGGAUGCGAGCCUCCCUGGAGUGAGGCUGCACUUCCUCCUGGCUGAAGACUGAGCUCAGCAGGACUCCAGCCCCACCCUUCAGAUAAGCCAGGAACACCCACACCUGGAGCUGCCCCUGAGCCAGCAAGCAGCCUCACAGCCCUGGUGUCAUUGGCUGAGACCCAGGAACCCUCAGGGAGAGCAGCUGCUCACCACAUACCACACAUCCUGCACACCAGCAUCCCUAGUCAGACUGAACCAAAAGGAGACGCAGGAGACACCAGUUCAAUCCGUGGGUCAGGAAUAUCCCCUGGCGUAGAAAAUGGCAACCAGCUCCACUAUUCCUGCCUGGAAAAUUCUAUGGACAGAGGAGCCUGGAGGGCUACAGUCCAGGGGGUCGCAAAGAGUCAGACAUGACUGAGCGACGGAGCACAAGCUCCACACAGGGGAUCACCGCCUACCAGCUCAUAAUCUGAUUCUCCAGCCACCGCACCCACCACCCUCCUUAGUGUGUCUUCUCAGUCCUGGACGCAGGCCAGUGUCUCCACCCUCCAACUCAUCCAAGACCUAACUGAUACCUUACGACAAUUUUACUGAAGGUGGAAACUAAUUGCAACUGCUACCAGAUGUUUUUGGUCUUAAAGCUCAUAGUCAAAAUCUGACCUAGAGUCUGCCCAGCUCCUAGCAGGAUUCCAGGUAGGGGGAACAGUCCUAGGAGUCUCCAGGAGUCUGCACACCUCAAAGACCACUCAUUUUGGCCCCAGAGAGAGAGAAGAAAAUCCGCCUCUCCCCAGUGCAAAGCCUGUGUCCUUUAUGGCCUCGGGACACACCUCUCCUUUUGGACAGCUCUGAGCCACACACAUGUGGCCUGAACAGCAGGGCCCAGAUGUGACAAUCAGAAGGACUCUAAAAUACAGCACAAAUGAAUGUAUCUGAGGAAACAAAAACACAACAGACUUGUGGUUGCCUGGGGGAGGGAAGGAUUGGGAGUUUGGGAUUAUCAGAUGCAAACAUACACAGGAUGGGUGCUGCUGUGCAGCGCGGGGAACCAUUCAGGAUCUUUAAUAAACCAUAAUGGAAAAGAAAAAAAAAGAAUGACUUCCCGUUUUCGGAAUAACUCUGUUGGGUGAGGGAAGCUCAACAGUAACUCAUGCCCAGUUCCACGCACAGUCACCCCGCCCCCAAGAAGAUCUGUAGGUUUGGGGGAACGCAGCUCCCACACCUAGUGAUGCCUGGUUCUUGGCUCCAGAUAUCUCGGGAGAAAACGUAAGAGAAGAGGACAGGAACAAGCCACUGUGAGAAUAUCGUAAAUCCAGGUGUUGGAUGGGGAGUGGGGUGUAGGCAGGAUCCUAACUGCACGGGACCAGACUCUCCUAACGUACCAGGUACAAGCCAGAACCUUGCAGGCUGCAGAUGCUGAUGCUGGUACACUUCACCCAUGUUUCAGAGAUUCCCCAAGAAAAAUGGACAGGCACUUGCUGCCCUGAUGAAGAGGUCACUCCCAGAACUGUCCAAGAGAUGAAUUCCAGUCUUACACUACACUGCUUCAAACGUUCACAAGCCCCCAGAGGAGUUUUUCCAGCUCCAACUUUAUUUUAAAAUCCAGGCUCUACCUACCGGGUACCCCAUUAUAAACAUGGAGAAUUGAGAAACCCCUCAUCAAAAGUAGGGAGGGAAGAGGCAGUCCACCAAAAUUCUUUUGUUCUUCAUCAUCUAGCUUUUUUCCAUCUGGGAUUCUCCUCUGGAUCCCAAUCUAUCCAUCACCAAUCAUCUAACUAUAUGUCUCUAUAUCAUCUAUCUGCUUACCUACCUACCAAUCUACUACCCCAUGCCAAUCUUAGCUGAAAUGGCCACAUUUUUCAUCAGAGAAUUUGCAGGUGCUCUCUGUAGUUGCUCACAGGCUAGUCCUUCAAUUCCGAGUCUCUACCCUGCUGAUUCCGACAGCAUUAACCCCUUCUCUUCUGAUCACUUCCAGACUUUAGUCAAUAUCCCAAACUAGGAUCAUUUG